UACGAAGGGUGCAAGCGUUAAUCGGAAUUACUGGGCGUAAAGGGUGCGUAGGCGGUUGUUUAAGUCUGUCGUGAAAUCCCCGGGCUCAACCUGGGAAUUGCGUUGGAGACUGCAAGGCUGGAGUCUGGCAGAGGGGGGUAGAAUUCCACGUGUAGCAGUGAAAUGCGUAGAGAUGUGGAGGAACACCGAUGGCGAAGGCAGCCCCCUGGGUCAAGACUGACGCUCAUGCACGAAAGCGUGGGGAGCAAACAGG
rnacentral:rRNA from 1 species